CGUAUCACUUAAAGCGAUUCAGCGGGUUACGAUUGACGGAGCGAAGCGACGUCAAAGCGUAUACAAAGUCGAGUCGGUUUAAGGAUACGUUCGUUGGGUAGGGGAGCGUUCUGUAAGCCUGUGAAGGUGUGUCGUGAGGCAUGCUGGAGGUAUCAGAAGUGCGAAUGCUGACAUAAGUAACGAUAAAGCGGGUGAAAAGCCCGCUCGCCGGAAGACCAAGGGUUCCUGUCCAACGUUAAUCGGGGCAGGGUGAGUCGACCCCUAAGGCGAGGCCGAAAGGCGUAGUCGAUGGGAAACGGGUUAAUAUUCCCGUACUUGGUGUUACUGCGAAGGGGGGACGGAGAAGGCUAUGUUGGCCGGGCGACGGUUGUCCCGGUUUAAGCGUGUAGGUGUGUGUUCCAGGUAAAUCCGGUUCACUUUAACACUGAGGCGUGACGACGAGGCACUACGGUGCUGAAGCAACAAAUGCCCUGCUUCCAGGAAAAGCCUCUAAGCAUCAGGUAACAUCAAAUCGUACCCCAAACCGACACAGGUGGUCAGGUAGAGAAUACCAAGGCGCUUGAGAGAACUCGGGUGAAGGAACUAGGCAAAAUGGUGCCGUAACUUCGGGAGAAGGCACGCUGACACGUAGGUGAAGUGAUUUACUCAUGGAGCUGAAGUCAGUCGAAGAUACCAGCUGGCUGCAACUGUUUAUUAAAAACACAGCACUGUGCAAACACGAAAGUGGACGUAUACGGUGUGACGCCUGCCCGGUGCCGGAAGGUUAAUUGAUGGGGUCAGCGCAAGCGAAGCUCCUGAUCGAAGCCCCGGUAAACGGCGGCCGUAACUAUAACGGUCCUAAGGUAGCGAAAUUCCUUGUCGGGUAAGUUCCGACCUGCACGAAUGGCGUAAUGAUGGCCAGGCUGUCUCCACCCGAGACUCAGUGAAAUUGAACUCGCUGUGAAGAUGCAGUGUACCCGCGGCAAGACGGAAAGACCCCGUGAACCUUUACUAUAGCUUGACACUGAACAUUGAGCCUUGAUGUGUAGGAUAGGUGGGAGGCUUUGAAGUGUGGACGCCAGUCUGCAUGGAGCCGACCUUGAAAUACCACCCUUUAAUGUUUGAUGUUCUAACGUGGACCCGUAAUCCGGGUUGCGGACAGUGUCUGGUGGGUAGUUUGACUGGGGCGGUCUCCUCCUAAAGAGUAACGGAGGAGCACGAAGGUUGGCUAAUCCUGGUCGGACAUCAGGAGGUUAGUGCAAUGGCAUAAGCCAGCUUGACUGCGAGCGUGACGGCGCGAGCAGGUGCGAAAGCAGGUCAUAGUGAUCCGGUGGUUCUGAAUGGAAGGGCCAUCGCUCAACGGAUAAAAGGUACUCCGGGGAUAACAGGCUGAUACCGCCCAAGAGUUCAUAUCGACGGCGGUGUUUGGCACCUCGAUGUCGGCUCAUCACAUCCUGGGGCUGAAGUAGGUCCCAAGGGUAUGGCUGUUCGCCAUUUAAAGUGGUACGCGAGCUGGGUUUAGAACGUCGUGAGACAGUUCGGUCCCUAUCUGCCGUGGGCGCUGGAGAACUGAGGGGGGCUGCUCCUAGUACGAGAGGACCGGAGUGGACGCAUCACUGGUGUUCGGGUUGUCAUGCCAAUGGCACUGCCCGGUAGCUAAAUGCGGAAGAGAUAAGUGCUGAAAGCAUCUAAGCACGAAACUUGCCCCGAGA
rnacentral:rRNA from 1 species